rnacentral:lncRNA from 1 species
UUAUCUUUUCAUUAUUAUGUAGGAGGUUUUGGCUAGAUUGCUGAAAAAAACCUUGAUACUGGACGAAUUGAGGGAUUUUCUCAUCCUCGGGGUGCUCCUUCGGUUUCUCACCUUAUGCAUAUAGAUGAUCUUGUUAUAUUCGCUAAUGGGAAUAAAUAGUUGACGAAAGGUUUAAUGGAGGUGUUGAAUAUGUAUGAAGGCUGGUCUGGGCAGCUUAUCAACAAAAAAAAGUCGGCCAUUUUUUUCUCAAAAUCUAGUUCUUUUGAACAAAAAAACUUCAUCAUACGGGAGACAGGUUUCAAAGAGUGCCAAUUUCCUAUGUUGAACUUGGGGGUGCCAAUUGUUCAAGGAAUGUUAAGUGCUCGACAUUUAGAGUCUCUGACUGGUAAAAUUCAGAAAAAAAUUGCUGGAUGGAAGAUGGUUUUACUAUCACAAGGGGGCAGGUUAGUGCUCCUUCGUCACGUCUUUUCUAGCAUGGCUAUAUACUUACUAUCGGUGUUACGUAUUUCUAAAUCUGGUGUGGGAAGUUAAAUUCCAUUCUUUCAUCCUUUUUUGGGGUGAAAUUAAUGGAAAGACCGGGAAAAAAUGGUGUUCGUGGGACAAAAUGAGUCGACCUGUACUGGAGGGGGGAUUGGAGUACGUAAAUUUGAAGAUGUUCAACGGGCUUUACACAUGAAGUUUGCUUGACGUUUUUUAUCUGCAGAUUCAUUGUGGGCAAGGUUUUUUAGAGCAAAGUACUCUAAACAAGGGUUUUGGAUAGAGCUAAUUUAAGCUAUAUUGGGACGAGUUUCUGGAGAUAAGUGAGAAAUUGUUUGUCUAAGGUUAUUGAACGCGGUCAAUGGAAGAUAAGUGAUGGUUCUUGC